UACGUAGGGGGCAAGCGUUGUCCGGAUUUAUUGGGCGUAAAGAGCGUGUAGGCGGCCGUGUAGGUCCGUUGUGAAAACUCGAGGCUCAACCUCGAGACGUCGAUGGAAACCACACGGCUAGAGUCCGGAAGAGGAGAGUGGAAUUCCUGGUGUAGCGGUGAAAUGCGUAGAGAUCAGGAGGAACACCUGUGGUGUAGACAGCUUACUGGACGGUCACUGACGCUGAGGCACGAAAGCGUGGGUAGCAAACAGG
rnacentral:rRNA from 1 species